rnacentral:rRNA from 1 species
UACGUAGGGUGCGAGCGUUAAUCGGAAUUACUGGGCGUAAAGCGAGCGCAGACGGUUACUUAAGCAGGAUGUGAAAUCCCCGGGCUCAACCUGGGAACUGCGUUCUGAACUGGGUGACUAGAGUGUGUCAGAGGGAGGUAGAAUUCCACGUGUAGCAGUGAAAUGCGUAGAGAUGUGGAGGAAUACCGAUGGCGAAGGCAGCCUCCUGGGAUAACACUGACGUUCAUGCUCGAACGCGUGGGUGGCAAACAGGAUUAG